rnacentral:lncRNA from 1 species
UGGUUCGAAACUCCAGAAGUGACAGUUAUAAUUUAUGGACAGUAUAACUCGAUAUCGAAAUCCGGUAUUUUGAGCAAUGGAAAGUAUUACCAUGAGAAAACGACAUUGAUUUUUCAUAAGGGCAUAUCUGCAUUCAUCGAUUCCGCUUCAUCGAUGCUCUCUUUGCAUGAUUACAGAACACUAAUUCACUUUUCGUAACAUUUUUUCGUCCUGUAGGAUAAGGAAUCACUAUAUCUUGCUUUAUGAACAAGACGAAUUUCAGAUUUAUUUAAUUUGGCGAAGUUAGUAGCAAAAGAGAGUAUCGUUGAAGAGAAAUCGUUCAUGUCAGUUAACCCCUAAUGAAGGAGCAGUGUCAAAUUGUCAUUUUUAUGCAGUUCUUUUCAAUGGUUCUCCUUCAAUGUGUAAACUUUGUUCAAAAUCACGUUAGUUUAGUUUGCUUGAAAUUAAAACAUUGUACAUAUAAAGCAGCCCUGCCCAACCAUUUUGGUUCUUUUUUGACACAAGUGGUUGGUGCGUUCGCAAAAAUAGUCCGAUAUUAGAAAUGUUUACCUCAAACGAAAGCCUAAUAGUAUAUCUAUCUGAUCUAUGUAUAAAUAUUUGAAUUUGUUUCAAACAUUUUGCUAGCGAGACAAAUAAAGGCAAAAAUCAAUCAGGCCGCACGUUUUUUUCAACCAAAUUUCAUCGGUAGCCAAAAAUAUAAGAUAAAUUCUAACUUAACUUCAAGAAUUAAAUAGAUAUACAACAGAGCUUUCAUUUGAGGUAAAAAAUGUCACACCGGACUAUUACUGCGGACGCACCAACUUUUCACGUAAAAAUGAGACAAAAAGGUUGAGCAGGCCUGAUAUAAAAAGAUUUAGUCGACCAAUUUUGAUGAGAUUCGAUGAAUUCUUUAUCUUAAUCUAAGAAAAAAUCACUGAUUCCAUAAUUCACACAGUCCCAUUCAUCACUAUCCCGAAACAGCUCUGUGCCGUUGUUUAACACAUCCCCUUCGGGAUACGGCACAGAAGAACACUGAACGAAAGGUGCCGCCGUCUUCGUUGCGAAUCUUCCCUCCCAUUCUGGCCUACUGUGAUGCAAGUCGCGAAAGACAACUUCCACCCGUGCGGCAUGCUGUGCAAUUUCAUUUCCAUUCGGCAAUGCACACAUCGUUCGUAUGUGUGGUGUUAUUUUGUGUACGAGAAAUGCGCUUGCAUUAUAUGAACUGACCAUCUCAUCAUCAUCAUCAUCAUCCUCCUCCAAUCUCCGCACACUACAGCGACUACGGAGACUACGUAGACGCUGUGUUUGCUUUGAAGUGUUGCUGUUGAUGUUGUUGGUUCCGUUCUUGAACGCAUUCACCCACACAAGAAGCCUUUCUCCCCGUACACGUACGACACAUUGGAGCGAACAUAUAUGCAUGCUUUGGCCUGGUGCGAAUAAUUUAGGAAGGCAAACACGAGGACCAGGGGAACAUCAACAAGACGGUCCCCGGUUGUCCAGUUCGUCGUUUGCCGUGGCCUUCUUACCGAUUACGGCAGGGAUUACGAACGAAUCCGAGUCCGAGAAAAGGGGUUUGAAGAUGUCGCACGCAGAUGACAUAGGCCUUGAAGACCUUCUUCUUCAUUCCGAAACUGACCAUCGCACUGGACACAGCGAAACGGCCUUCACUGCCUCACCUCAAUUCGAGGUUCUUUUUUUGGAGAAGUUCAAACCAAGUUCAACAACCAGUACAAAUUGGCUGUUACCAAGAAUAAAGACUACGAAAUGGACACACCCGUUGACCGGACUGGAAUUGGAUGACCCUCGUCAAGGAUGGACCGACUUCACGAAUCAUACUCAAAUAUAUCACACACGUGCAAUUGCUGUUUUCGGCUAAUGCUCAACUCACUCUGCGAAUCAUAGCCGCCGUCCGAAGUUCCGAAAUGCCUGUAUUUCCACGUUGAUGCGGGUCCUCACCGCGCAAAAAUUACAGCUAGUAGUUUCUCAAAAAACAUAAAUUGUAAUUCUAAAUACUUGUAGGUUCUCGUUCGUCUUGACUCUCCUGCCGAAGCCUCCUUCACCUCUUCUGUAUCGCACACACUCUCGGCACUU